ACGAAGGCCACCUGUCAAACUGCAAAUUCUCGGUUUGUGGCCCUGCGUGCUCUGCACGCUUUGAAUUACACAGUGAAAGGGCUACAGAAGCAGUCAUUGAAGGCCUACAAAAGUCUUGAUGAUUUCAAGUAUUUUGUGGCAGGAUGGGUGCGUGAUGUUGAGGUCUUCAAUGUUCCAAAUUCGGAUGUUUUUUGAUCGUGUCUAAGGUAAGAAACUUUCUUUGUGGGGAUGUGAGAGAGGAGCCUUAUCGGUGAAGUUAUACUGAUAGCAUUGCCAACUACCGGCCUAACGUAACUUACAUGUACAUGCCGUUUUGCUACAGUUAGCACUGGGACAUACUAGCUUAUUACUUGACAAGAUGAUUUUCUCAUGCCACCGUACAAAUUUCUCCAAUUUACAUAACAGCCUAAUUUGUAGAAAUUAUGAGGUUUGACCAUGGUAAAGACUUAAUUUUUUACAUGCCCAAAUAGUAAUAGUAUAGGCCUAUACAUAUGAUUUCUGUUUUUCUUCUCUCUAAGUUUUCCAUUCCCAGCAGCUUGGAUAGACACCUCACAAGCCAUGGGUUGCUGUCAAGUUAGAUGGACAAAUUCUUCAUCUGUUCAUGGGUUCUGCACUUGUAUGGCUGGUGUUGCAAAGUCGUGUUCCCACAUUGCAGCAACUUGUUUUGCAGUUGAAGCUGCUGUGUGGGUGAAAUAAUAAGUACAUCAAGUACCUCCAAGGAAUGCCAGUGGCUUGCCCCAUCCUCAAGAAAUGUGGAUUAUGUGGAAACUGUCAACAUUGACUUUUCUAGUCCCAAGAGAAGGCAGAAGUGUGGUGGAGUCACCCCCAAGGAGGUACCACCUCUUGACAUUGAUGCACCAUCGGCUACAGAGACACAUGACUUCUACGCAAUGCUGAACCAGUCACCAAAAAAAGCCAAUGGUUUUGUCGAUGGUUUUUUAAUAUAGCAGCUAGUUUGUUCCAAGACCAGUACUCCUUGAUCUUCCGCAGCCAUUGACAGAGCUGUAUGGUGCCAAAUUUGUUGCUGCUUCCUUCGAUGAAGUCCUUGCAAAAAAGCAAGACUGUGUGUAAGGAAAUGGCAGUUUCUAAGAAGCAGAUUGUUGGUAUAGAAAGAGAAACAAGGAGCCAGGCUGCAUCAAAGACAUGGUUCUUGUAUCUAGCUGGGCGUGUCGCCUUAUCACUUUACAAGGCCGUCUGCCACACCAGCUGUGAUAACCCAUCCAUGUCCCUCAUCAAGAGGAUAUGCUACCCCCCACACUAACAGAUUCUCAGUGCAGCAACCAGGUGGGGGUGUAAACAUGAAUGUCAAACUCUAUCAAACUCUGAUGUCUACAUCAGUAAGAGUCAGCAUGUAAAUCAGAAGGUGACUGACUGGACUUUUCAUACAUCCCAAGCAUAGCUACAUAGGGCCCUCCCAAGAUGUGUGUGUAUCUUGUGACUGUUGUGGUGAGGGAAUACUUGAGAUUAAAUGUCCAUAUUGUCACAGGAAUGACACAGUAGCUGAUGCAGCAUCUACAGACAGCCUUCUGCCUUGAAAAGCUUGGUGGUGCACUGAGUUUGAAGAAAACCACCAAAAUUAUUUUCAAAUUCAGUGUCAGUUGAUGGUAACCUCCAGAAAAUAUUGUGACUUUGUUGUUUACACCAAGUCUGACUUCCACAUUGAACGCAUACUUCCAGAGUCCAACUUUGUAAACACAAUCCAUAAUUUUGCAAAGUUUUACAAGACUUGUGUUCCUUAACUCAUUAGUCAGCACUACACUCACAAAGCUGCCCAUGUCUCUACGUCUUGUGUGCCAUGCUUUUGACAAGACUUUGACUUAAAGAAGACAAUCAUUAAGUGCUCAUCUACUGAUUGUACUGUUAAAGAGUUUCACAAACAGUGUGUGGGCCUGAAGAAUAACCCCGCAAAGAAAUGGUUGAGCAAAGUGAAGAAAACUUAGUUUUGUGUGAGAAAUACAUUGUACACCCAACCACACACGUGCUGCAAACUCCCACAUCUAUCAUGCUCUUAAGUGGGUUUGUUACAUUUGAGGAAUGUGUUAUGCCACACUGUAUGCAGGCCAGAUUUCCAUCUUAUUUUUCUCCCUGUACAUUAUAAAUAUGAAUGGGAUGCUUAAACCCCAAAUACAAAUUAAUAUCAGAGGAACAGAAUAACAAAUACAAUAGCCUCUGCUUCUUGUCAUUUUAUUGUACGUGCAGUAAAAGUUUUAGUUUCGUAGUAUUGUUAUACAAUUACAUGUAGCAUAAUUAUCCCAUCACAUUUUCUAUAAUUCUAUCCUUGAAGUGACAGUGAAAAUAAAGAUUUUAUGAGGGAAACUGGUAUUUCAAUAAAUCCCUUAGUACUGCACUGAACAUUACGUCACAUCAGUAAAACAUGCAAUGGAAUAAAACACAUUUCAAAGUGAUUAAGUACACAGGAGAACCUGAAA